GUCUUGGUACAGCAGCCAUGUAUAUAACCUGGUCAGGUCCGGAAGGAAGCAGCCAUACAAACCUCUGACUGCGUGUACCAUUUAUUU
rnacentral:SRP_RNA from 1 species